rnacentral:rRNA from 1 species
AGUGAACGCUGGCGGUAGGCCUAACACAUGCAAGUCGAACGGCAGCACAGUAAGAGCUUGCUCUUACGGGUGGCGAGUGGCGGACGGGUGAGGAAUACAUCGGAAUCUACUUUUUCGUGGGGGAUAACGUAGGGAAACUUACGCUAAUACCGCAUACGACCUACGGGUGAAAGCAGGGGAUCUUCGGACCUUGCGCGAUUGUAUGAGCCGAUGUCGGAUUAGCUAGUUGGCGGGGUAAAGGCCCACCAAGGCGACGAUCCGUAGCUGGUCUGAGAGGAUGAUCAGCCACACUGGAACUGAGACACGGUCCAGACUCCUACGGGAGGCAGCAGUGGGGAAUAUUGGACAAUGGGCGCAAGCCUGAUCCAGCCAUACCGCGUGGGUGAAGAAGGCCUUCGGGUUGUAAAGCCCUGUUGUUGGGAAAGAAAAGCAGCAGGUUAAUACCCCGCUGUUCUGACGGUACCCAAAGAAUAAGCACCGGCUAACUUCGUG